rnacentral:rRNA from 1 species
AAUCAACGCUGGCGGCGUGCCUCAGACAUGCAAGUCGAACGAUUAAAGCUCUCUUCGGAGAGUGUAUAGAGUGGCGCACGGGUGAGUAACACGUAAGUAAUCUACCUUUGAGUGGGGAAUAACCCGGGGAAACCCGAGCUAAUACCGCAUAAUGCAGCGGCAUCGCAAGAUGACAGUUGUUAAAGGAGCAAUCCGCUUAAAGAGGAGCUUGCGGCAGAUUAGCUAGUUGGUAAGGUAAUGGCUUACCAAGGCUACGAUCUGUAUCCGGUCUAAGAGGACGGUCGGACACACUGACACUGAAUAACGGGUCAGACUCCUACGGGAGGCAGCAGUCGGGAAUUUUGGGCAAUGGGCGAAAGCCUGACCCAGCAACGCCGCGUGAAGGAUGAAGUAUUUCGGUAUGUAAACUUCGAAAGAAUAGGAAGAAUAAAUGACGGUACUAUUUAUAGGUCCGGCUAACUACGUGCCAGCAGCCGCAGUAAU